rnacentral:rRNA from 1 species
AGUGAACGCUGGCGGUAGGCCUAACACAUGCAAGUCGAACGGCAGCACAGUAAGAGCUUGCUCUUACGGGUGGCGAGUGGCGGACGGGUGAGGAAUACAUCGGAAUCUACUUUUUCGUGGGGGAUAACGUAGGGAAACUUACGCUAAUACCGCAUACGACCUACGGGUGAAAGCAGGGGAUCUUCGGACCUUGCGCGAUUGAAUGAGCCGAUGUCGGAUUAGCUAGUUGGCGGGGUAAAGGCCCACCAAGGCGACGAUCCGUAGCUGGUCUGAGAGGAUGAUCAGCCACACUGGAACUGAGACACGGUCCAGACUCCUACGGGAGGCAGCAGUGGGGAAUAUUGGACGAUGGGCGCAAGCCUGAUCCAGCCAUACCGCGUGAGUGAAGAAGGCCUUCGGGUUGUAAAGCCCUUUUGUUGGGAAAGAAAAGCAGCAGGUUAAUACCCCGCUGUUCUGACGGUACCCAAAGAAUAAGCACCGGCUAACUUCGUG